rnacentral:rRNA from 1 species
GAUGAACGCUGACAGAAUGCUUAACACAUGCAAGUCAACUGUGGCGGACGGGUUAGUAACGCGUAAAGAACUUGCCUCACAGAUAGGGACAACAUUUGGAAACGAAUGCUAAUACCUGAAACUGUGAGAGAGCUUUGCGUCCCAUUAGCUAGUUGGAGAGGUAACGGCUCACCAAGGCGAGGAUGGGUAGCCGGCCUGAGAGGGUGAUCGGCCACAGGGGGACUGAGACGCGGCCCGUAAGCCUACGGGAGGCAGCAGUGGGAAAUAUAUGACAAGGGACCAAAGUCUGAUCCAGCAAUUCUGUGUGCAAGAUGAAUUUUUCGGAAUGUAAAGGGCUUUCAGUUGGGAAGCAGUACCAGCAGAAGAAGUGACGGCUAAAUACGUGCCAGCCGCCGCGGUAAUUC